rnacentral:misc_RNA from 1 species
AUUUUUCCGCUAGCCUUCAGCCAUGAUCACUUGGCAGUUAAAAGUUUUACUCUUGCUCUCUGUGGGGAUGUUGCUGACUCAUAAUUGUGUGGAAGGAAAUUUAGGGAGUGUGUUAACACAGUCUGGAGCUGUCUGCAAUGGCAUUCCAAAUGUACUAUUGUUUUCUGAUCGUAUUGGAAAUUAUAUUGAUUGGAUAUCAAGUAGCUGGGGAUUGGCGAUUUAGAUCUGUUCUAAUCCAACCUAAACCUGAAGAUGAAAUGCUGGGCGAUCAGACAUCAAGAUCAGGAGGCAUCUUUUCUAUUGACCCGAAUAUUCCUCGUUUUUACGGAAGAAGACAUGGAAGAACAGGUUACUUAUGUCCUCCAACAUAACAGUGUGAUAAACAAUAUAACCACC